GCAAUCUGGUCGGCACAGAUCCUCCAUCGCUUCAUCACGGCUGUCCAAAAUUAAUUGGGAAAGGCUAUAAAUUGAGCGAGAUCAGAUGGACGCCCCAGAAUGAUCGAGAACCCAUCAGAGCUCUCGACCCGUUUCUGCAGCCCGACGACCGGAAGCCACGACCCGGACGGAACUCCUCCGUCCGGCCAUAUCUUGGAUGCGUAACAUCGGCGUUCGCUUCGUCUCCUCGGCGCAGACGUGAUUCUGGCAUCGAAUUGUCCAAUUGGCGACAGAAGGCGACGAUACGACGCUUGAAAGCUCUAAGCUUUUUCGGCGAUUUCGAAGAAUUUUCUGGCGUCUCCGACGACCAUCGGCGGUGCUUGAGCAUGAAUUGAUUUCUGGAGAAGUUUGAAAUGGUGAGUUAGGUAUGUUCUGCCACCGCUUGUGGUGGCUGCCUUGGUUUAUUCCUCCUCUGAAUUUGCGAAUUACACGUCAAGGAGUUUUCCGGAGGCCAUGUUUUUCGUCAGAGAAGACAUUUUACUGAUUUGGAUCAUCUCCUGGCCCUUGUUCAACACAAAGGUCCGUCAAGGUUUUAGGAAAUCGCAUUGUUGGAAUUGAUGUUCUGGAACUGUGGUUUCUCGAGUUCGCAUGUCUCUGUGAAUUUGUGUUAUACAGAUCUCGAUUACUGUUAAGAUAGCUUGGUGUUCGUUGGAAAUUGAAUGUACAUUGGAUAUCAAAUCGACUUGGUAAAUUUUAGACUUUAGAGUUUGAUUUGCAUUAUGCUGAGAGCGUAAUGGAUAUAUAUAUAUGAAAAUGGCUGUGAAAAUUGAAAAA